GCUAACUACGGGGCUGCGGCUGCGGGAAUACGUGGGGUGGGAGCUGUGUGCGGAAGUAUUGGGCGGAAAGCGCUCGUAGGCGGUUUGGUGCGUAGGUCGUGAAAGGCCGGGGCUUAACCCCGGAUCUGCGGUGGGUACGGGCAGACUAGAGUGCAGUAGGGGAGACUGGAAUUCCUGGUGUAGCGGUGGAAUGCGCAGAUAUCAGGAGGAACACCGAUGGCGAAGGCAGGUCUCUGGGCUGUAACUGACGCUGAGGAGUGAAAGCAUGGGGAGCGAACAGGAUUAGAUACCCCUGUAGUC
rnacentral:rRNA from 1 species